GGCGGACGGGUGAGGAAUACAUGGGUAACGUACCUUGAGCAUGGGGACAGUCAGCCGAAAGGCUGAGUAAUACCCAAUGACACCACAGUUUCACAAGGCACAGUGGUCAAAGGCGGGGCUCCCUUCGGGGACCUGUUGGCUCGAGAGCGGCCCAUGUCCUAUCAGCUUGUUGGCGGGGUAACGGCCCACCAAGGCUACGACGGGUACCGGGACUGAGAGGUUGAUCCGGCACAUUGGGACUGAGACACUGCCCAGACUCCUACGGGAGGCUGCAGCAACGAAUAUUGUCCAAUGGGCGAAAGCCUGAGACAGCGACGCCGCGUGCGGGAAUAAGCCCUUCGGGGUGUAAACCGCUGUCAGGGACCACCAAGCGAAGGGGGCUAGUAUCCCCCGGAGUUGAGGAAUCCCAGAGGAAGCCACGGCUAACUUCGUGCCAGCAGCCGCGGUAAGACGAAGGUGGCAAGUGUUGUUCGGAAUCACUGGGCUUAAAGAGCACGUAGGCGGCCCAUCAAGCGUCCUGUGAAAUCCCUCGGCUUA
rnacentral:rRNA from 1 species